rnacentral:rRNA from 1 species
CGUCUAUAUACGUAUAGCAUAUCAAUAAGCGGAGGAAAAGAAACUAACUAGGAUUCCCUCAGUAACGGCGAGUGAAGCGGGAAGAGCUCAAAUUUGAAAUCUUCAAGGUUCUACCUUGACGAAUUGUAGUUUAAAGAAGUGUUUUCUGUUGGAGUUUUGGUAAAAGUUCUUUGGAAUAGGACAUCAUAGAGGGUGAGAAUCCCGUAUUUGACCAUUAUUUCCAACUUUGUGAUACACUUUCAAAGAGUCGGAUUGUUUGGGAAUGCAGUCCAAAAUGGGUGGUAAAUUUCAUCUAAAGCUAAAUACUGGCGAGAGACCGAUAGCGAACAAGUACCGUGAGGGAAAGAUGAAAAGAACUUUGAAAAGAGAGUUAAACAGUACGUGAAAUUGUCAAAAGGGAAGCGUUUGACACCAGUGUUGUUUUCUCGAAAAUCAAUUAAAAAUGGCGGGAUUUUGUGUUGUAUUGACUUUAUCAGCUUUCUGCACUUUUUUCCUGUCUUUUUUAAUGCACUUUUCGUUUAACAAGUCAACAUCAAUUUCUUUUGUUGUAAAAGAGUCAUUGGAAGGUGGCUUUCUUUUCGGAGAAAGUGUUUAUAGCCUUUGGCCUCUGCAAUCGGAGAGAUUGAGGUCUGCAGCGUAGAUCCCUUCGGGGUUAGAUACAUUUGUGCUAAGCUAUAGCCUUUCAUAGACAACUUGUUGACUAUGAUCAGUCAUGUAGCUUACUCGCUUAUGCUAUUUUACCUACGCUUAGGAUGUUGACGAUCAGCUGAGCGCG